rnacentral:rRNA from 1 species
GAUGAACGCUGGCGGCGUGCCUAAUACAUGCAAGUCGAGCGAACGGACGAGAAGCUUGCUUCUCUGAUGUUAGCGGCGGACGGGUGAGUAACACGUGGAUAACCUACCUAUAAGACUGGGAUAACUUCGUGAAACCGUAGCUAAUACCGGAUAAUAUUUUGAACCGCAUGGUUCAAAAGUUAAAGACGGUCUUGCUGUCACUUAUAGAUGGAUCCGCGCUGCAUUAGCUAGUUGGUAAGGUAACGGCUUACCAAGGCAACGAUGCAUAGCCGACCUGAGAGGGUGAUCGGACACACUGGAACUGAGACACGGUCCAGACUCCUACGGGAGGCAGCAGUAGGGAAUCUUCCGCAAUGGGCGAAAGCCUGACGGAGCAACGCCGCGUGAGUGAUGAAGGUCUUCGGAUCGUAAAACUCUGUUAUUAGGGAAGAACAUAUGUGUAAGUAACUGUGCACAUCUUGACGGUACCUAAUCAGAAAGCCACGGCUAACUACGUG